GGCGCGUAGGCGGUGGAGUAAGUCUGAGGUGGAAGAUUAGGGCUUAACCCGAAAAUUGCCUUGGAAACUGCAUCACUUGAGUCAGCGAGGGGGUGGCGGAAUUCCAGGUGUAGCGGUGAAAUGCGUAGAUAUCUGGAGGAAGGCCGGUGGCGAGGGCGGCCAUCUGGCGCUGAACUGACGCUGAGGCGCGAAAGCGUGGGGAGCAAACAGGGUUAGAUACCCUGGUAGUCCACGCCCUAAACGGUGGGUACUAGGUGUAGGGCUCGUAAGGGUUCUGUGCCGUAGGGAAACCAUUAAGUACCCCGCCUGGGGAGUACUGCCGCAAGGUUGAAACUCAAAGGAAUUGACAGGGGCCCGCACAAGCGGUGGAGCAUGUUGUUUAAUUCGACGCAACGCGAAGAACCUUACCUGGGCUUGACAUGGUAGUGGUAGGGAUAUGAAAGUUGACCGAUCCCGAGCAAUCGGGAAGCUAUCACAGGUGCUGCAUGGCUGUCGUCAGCUCGUGCCGUGAGGUGUUUGGUUAAGUCCCGCAACGAGCGCAACCCUUAUCCUCUGUUACCUCGCAAGAGGGUCUCUGAGGAAACUGCCGGCGAUGAGCUAGAGGAAGGUGGGGAUGACGUCAAGUCAUCAUGGCCCUUAUGUCCAGGGCUACACACGUGCUACAAUGGGUACUACAGAGGGUAGCAAGACCGCGAGGUGGAGCCAAUCCCUAAAAGUAUUCGUAGUUGGGAUCGGAGUCUGCAACUCGACUCCGUGAACCUGGAAUCGCUAGU
rnacentral:rRNA from 1 species